rnacentral:lncRNA from 1 species
CGAACACGCACGUUAUUGGAGGAGAGAGGAUUGAGUAAGAGAGCCCAAAAAUUUGAUUGGGGAAGCUGACUCCGGAUGUGCUUGACUGAACACUGAUUGGAGAACAGAGGGGUCAGGAAGCGCAGUGCCGCACGAGGAUUGGGCGGCGGCGUGUCCCAUGGAAACGGAAUCCAGAACUGCAGCCAGGGUUUUGCACGGGGGCGGAGCCGGCUCUUCCCCAGGCGCCUGCGCCUAACCGGGUCCCCGGCGCCAUUUUGUCCCGGCAGCAGCAGCCCGCAGCUCUAGCCCAUUUUCUGUGUCUGGAGGGAAGGACGCGGACUCUCUCUGAGUUGUGCUGAAGACAACAAACACCUCCUUGACAACCCAGAGUAUCACAGAGGAAAUGAAAAGCUGUGGACUCAUUCAAAGUUAAUUAAGAUUAGGUUUGACCAUGGAAACCUAGAAAAUCUUGGCUGCUGAUGUGGAAAAAGAGACCCAGAAGAACAAGAAAACAGGUGACUGGAAUGCUGGUCCCCUGUGCAGGAACAGUUCAGGAGGCUGGCUGAGUGAGACACGAGUGUUCUUGUCUUGUUGGCUGUUGGGUCCUCAUGACUUAGGAUUACAUGUCGUCCUUUCAUAUGGCAUGAAUGAGGAUUUAUAAAACCCUAUUACGGUUUGGUCAUGCAGCCCAAACAGACCUACAAAGAUUGGCAGGUAAAUUUUACCUGCUCAAGCAGAGAGCAGAGACUCAUCUUUAGCUCAUUUGUGCAUACUGCACAUUCCGUACACUUGUUACUGCAGAAAUGUCCCUACAGUGUUACCAGAGCUGGGGCAGGAAGUAAGGGAGGAAUUCCUGAGCAGGCUGACACUGACUGAUGCUGAAGGAAGCAGGAGGUGGGCGGAGCUGAGAGUGGUGAGAGCCACGGGGAAACAUGGGAUGGUAGAGGAGUCAGGAAAAGUUAGAGCUAGCUGAGACUGUCCUAGCAAAAGACCAACAGCUUUCAUUUUCUUCAAAAUUUAAUAAUAAACUGUGGAAUAAACUAUUUUGAAAG